UACAGAGGUGGCAAGCGUUGUUCGGAAUUACUGGGCGUAAAGGGCGCGUAGGCGGCUUUUUAAGUCAGACGUGAAAUCCCCCGGCUUAACCUGGGAACUGCGUCUGAUACUGGAUGGCUUGAGUAUGGGAGAGGGAUGUGGAAUUCCAGGUGUAGCGGUGAAAUGCGUAGAUAUCUGGAGGAACACCGGUGGCGAAGGCGGCAUCCUGGACCAUUACUGACGCUGAACCGCGAAAGCUAGGGGAGCAAACGGG
rnacentral:rRNA from 1 species